CAGCACCUCAAGUGUUCAGGAUGAUUAUUGGGCCUAAAGCAUCCGUAGCCGGCGCUGUAAGUUUUCGGUUAAAUCUGUACGCUCAACGUACAGGCUGCCGGGAAUACUGCAGCGCUAGGGAGUGGGAGAGGUAGACGGUACUCGGUAGGAAGGGGUAAAAUCCUUUGAUCUAUUGAUGACCACCUGUGGCGAAGGCGGUCUACCAGAACACGUCCGACGGUGAGGGAUGAAAGCUGGGGGAGCAAACCGGAUUAGAGACCCGAGUAGUCC
rnacentral:rRNA from 1 species